rnacentral:rRNA from 1 species
UACGUAGGGCGCAAGCGUUAUCCGGAAUUAUUGGGCGUAAAGAGCUCGUAGGCGGUUUGUCGCGUCUGCCGUGAAAGUCCGGGGCUCAACUCCGGAUCUGCGGUGGGUACGGGCAGACUAGAGUGAUGUAGGGGGAGACUGGAAUUCCUGGUGUAGCGGUGAAAUGCGCAGAUAUCAGGAGGAACACCAGCGGCGAAGGCGGCGCUCUGGGCCGGAACUGACGCUGAGGAGCGAAAGCGUGGGGAGCAAACAGG